rnacentral:rRNA from 1 species
AACGAACGCUGGCGGCAGGCUUAACACAUGCAAGUCGAACGCAUCCUUCGGGGUGAGUGGCAGACGGGUGAGUAACGCGUGGGAACGUGCCCUUCAGUUCGGGAUAACCCAGGGAAACUUGGGCUAAUACCGGAUACGUGCGAGAGCAGAAAGAUUUAUCGCUGAAGGAUCGGCCCGCGUCUGAUUAGCUAGUUUGUGGGGUAAUGGCCCACCAAGGCGACGAUCAGUAGCUGGUCUGAGAGGAUGAUCAGCCGCACUGGGACUGAGACACGGCCCAGACUCCUACGGGAGGCAGCAGUGGGGAAUAUUGGACAAUGGGCGCAAGCCUGAUCCAGCCAUGCCGCGUGAGUGAUGAAGGCCUUAGGGUUGUAAAGCUCUUUCAGUGGGGACGAUAAUGACGGUACCCGCAGAAGAAGCCCCGGCUAACUUCGUGCCAGCAGCCGCGGUAA